rnacentral:lncRNA from 1 species
CUUUAUUUUAUUUUAUGUGGUGCUGAGGAUCGAACCCAGCGCCCCGCACACGCCAGGCGAGUGCGCUACCACUUGAGCCACAUCCCCAGCCCGAUUUGAGGAUGCUUUGUUACUCAGCAAUACAAACUAAAACAAAAACUGGCUCUUGGAAGUAGGAAGUUGCCAUAGUUAAAACCUGAAACGUGUGAUGUUGACUUUGGGACCAGCUACAGAGGCAGCAUGGACGUGCUAAUACAGGCUGGAUGGUCAGGAAGGAAUAGCCAUUGGGACUAGGGAAAGGCCCUGCCGUGAUUUAUAGUAAUUCAUGUCACCUGCGGAAGUGGAACGUUCCUAAGAAGCCCACUAGAGAUGGCCAAGGUGCUGUCCAGGCAUAAUGGUGAAAGUACCAACCAGGUAGGGCUGAUGAACUCUUACCAGAAAGAUGAAGCAAAAGGAACUUUUCAGUUUGUAAGCAAAACUUGAAGGAAAACGGAGGGCUGGAACAGUCUUCAGCUUUUAAAAAAAUAAAAAUAAAUCAACUUUCACCAGUAGUAAUGUAAGAAAAUGAUCUAAGAAAUCACUUUGGCCAGUGGGAAAAAAAAAUGGGACAUUUGAAAAGUUCAGCAGUACAAUGCAUACAGGGACAGUGGAAAUGGCUGGUUGACACUGAACUGCCUUCGUAUCUUAGGGAGAUAAGGGGAAGCAGCUAACACACGAUGGAAACUAUCUGUGAAGGCCACUGUCUCCCAAGUAG